CAAUGUGGUAGCGGAAGACAUGGAGUUUAAGACAUAGUUAGAUGAAGCUUCGGAUGAAAUGGCUAUUGUUUUUAGCAUGCUUUAAAAGGCUUGUUUUGUAAGGCUCUUAUUAGAUGUUUGAGCCGGGGUGUGAAGCAAAGAGGAAAACAAAACUACAAAAAAAAAUGUCUUUUCCUCAUAGGUCUAAGAGCACCUUUAGUGGGAAGUGUUUACAUGAAUCUCAUAGUAUUAAAAAAAUAAAAAUAAUAAAAAUGGAAGAGAGAGAGUGAAGAGGGGUGCUCAAAAAAGAGACUUUGGAACCCAUUUAAGUAUCUCAUCAAACACAAGUCUCAUUUUU
rnacentral:lncRNA from 1 species